rnacentral:rRNA from 1 species
CUCGUAGGCGGUUCGUCGCGUCCGGUGUGAAAGUCCAUCGCUUAACGGUGGAUCUGCGCCGGGUACGGGCGGGCUGGAGUGCGGUAGGGGAGACUGGAAUUCCUAGUGUAGCGGUGAAAUGCGUAGAUAUUAGGAGGAACACCAGUGGCGAAGGCGGCUUACUGGACGGUAACUGACGUUGAGGCUCGAAAGCGUGGGGAGCAAACA